CAUGUGGGAAUGAAGUUCUCCCUGGUUUUAACCAAACCGCUUGUAUAUAAGCUGAUGACUUCUGCGCUU
rnacentral:ncRNA from 1 species